AUACAUGCUUAUUUGAAGAGUGAAAAGAUAAACUAUAGGACUGUUGAAUGUGAUAACGGGGUGGUUUAGGAUUACAUUUUAAUUAUAUUGGAAUGCCAACUCAUGGGUGUCAAUUAGAUCAUUAAUCAAUUUAAACUGCUCAUGGGUCAAUUGAGAUACCAAUUAGGGCGAAAAUUAUUAAUACAGAAUGUGAAGUCAAUGUAAAGCUAUUCCGAAUUUUUUAGUAAUUGAGAGAAAUUAUGAUUGAAUGAAUAGAAUUGUGUUAUAAAUGGCAGUUUAUGACUUAUCUUAUGGUUUAAGGGAAUAUUUAAUUAAUUAGGUCCAUUCGAGAACUGGUACAUUGUAACUCUGAUGUUGAAGGAUUUAAUGAGGUGUUAAACUUGUUUGGAGUAAAGAAUGUAGAGAGAACAUAAUUAAGGUUGAGGAUAUUCCUACAUCGUAUGAGAUAUAAAUUUUACAAAUUUUGCAGGUGAUAGACAUUAAGAUAGACUUGGAAAAAAGGAAUAACCUAAUGAUAUUAUUAUUUGAAUAUUCAUCGGCAUAAAACAAAGGACAUAGUUUAAUUAGGAGUUGGAUUAUAGGUUUAACAUCCUUAAUCUCUUACUUAGCUUGA